AGUUACCUAGAGCAUUAGCCAAUCAGAAAUGUUCUUGAGCCGAUAUCGUUAAACCGGAGGCUCUUUGCAAGGUGCUGUUGUGCAUGUCCGCUCGACGGAAAGCCUUAUGUACCGCUGGAGUCACCACCUGAACCCUUGGGUUCAGGACUAUUCUGGUAGCGGUGCUCCGGGUAGCUU
rnacentral:other from 1 species